rnacentral:rRNA from 1 species
UGUAGUCUGCAACUCGACUACAUGAAGCUGGAAUCGCUAGUAAUCGCAGAUCAGAAUGCUGCGGUGAAUACGUUCCCGGGUCUUGUACACACCGCCCGUCACACCAUGGGAGUCGGAAAUGCCCGAAGCCGGUGACCAAACCAAUAAGGAAGGAGCCGUCGAAGGCAGGUCUGAUAACUGGGGUGAAGUCGUAACAAGGUAUC